AGUCAGAAAGUGGCAAAGGGCAGAUUUGCACCGCAUUUUGUGCUCUCGAGUAGAGAGACACAAGUGGUUCUCCACUGGGCAGUUUUUUCUUAUCGGAAUUUCAUACUGCACAUGGGAGUCCCCUUUUUCUCCAAAGGAAACGUAUUUUUGAAGGAACGAACACAAAUAAUGGAGCCGCCACAAAACCAUUUUAUGUGUCAUCAGAUAGCUCCCGACAGGACUUAUUUACCCAGCUCAUCGGCGCACGCACAAUCAGAUCAGCGAGAGGCUAAAUCAACACAGCUGCAGCAACUCAGCCUUCUCGCCCACACUCUUCUCCGAGUCGUGUCUUUUCACUUGAAUCAGCCUUCUGUCGCUUUCCCUGCGCUCCACUUUGCCCUUUGCAUCCGCAUCGUCAUCCUCUCCUGCUCCCCUCAUUCUGCAUAUCUCAUAGGUGCAAUUUGAUGCCUUUGCCCAUCUCCGUCUUUUGCUAGAGCACCCACAAGAGCAUCUGAUGCAGAUUGGUUAAGCAGGCUUAACUAUUGGCUAAACAAAACUCAUUAAACAAUUCAGAACAUUUCUGAGACAACAACAGCUCAUAUGAAAAUACUCCCAGGCAUAUAUUCUUUUUCCUCAGCAAAGAAUGACUGACUAACCGCUCAGGUGAGUGACCUUCACCGUAUACUUGUCUGCGUUUUACUUUUGUAUUAUACUUGAUAGCUCGUUUUCACGUGUAUAACCGCUUACCCUUCAUCGGUGUUGUGAUGAAGACAUCCAUCACCAUCAUCCUCAGUACGAGUGAACAGGAAGGGGUAAACUAGCGUGGGCCAACAGGGGAAACAGGAGCAUCCACUUCCCCCUUUUCUCGCUCAACGCCCAGCCUGUGCCGUUUGUAUAUUGUACUGCUUGCGUGUGUGAGCAGGAAGGACCAAGAUCGGAUGUUAUUGUUUACUGCUAGACGGCGGCCGUGAUAGCAUUCCAAAUUUCCUGUGUGUUCUUACAUUUGCGCUCCAAUUUCAAUGACAACAGCUAGCGGUCGAAUAAAAAAUAUAAAUACAUGCAAGAACCCUCUUCUAUCGCUUGAAAAUUGUUUCAUACAUAGUUGGAUAGUUGAUUUUGUCUCAACAUAUGUGCAACAUUGAAACAAUCAGAUUAAUCAAGUGAUUGUUCAUUUUGCCAAAGUGCUAAAUCCUAGUUUGUCACUCAAACAGAAUGGCCCAUGAUGAAAAGACUGCCUAGGAAAAAGUGAGUCAGAGGCAGAACAAAAAAACACUCCAGGAAGUAGGUAAGAGCAAUCGCUUGCGGAUCACAGGACAAAUUCCCGUCUGUUCGUCAUGUCUGCCUCGGCGAGCCCGAUCGAUGAGGCACCGCGGGGCCUUGGCAAACAACAACAAGUUGCUUUUAUUAUUUUCACCCCUCGGGAGCAUCAUUUGGAAUGACGGAUUGAACGGUGGAUUUUUUUCUGUUCGGGGGAGUAGAGUUUUCACGCAAGACUAUCGCUGCAGCGCCCGCUGAUCGUUGUGGCAAGAAACGUGGCUUGAUCCAUCGCACAUCCUUCCAUCUUGAAAGAAGCCGCUGUGAUGAAUAUCGGCUGGCGUGUGCCCGCAGCUGACGAUUAGGACGCUGACACAUUGAUCAUAUUCAAGGCUCAGCAGCACAGCCAGACAACUCACGCCCAGAGCUCGCUGGCAUGUUUCAUCUUUAGCCAAAUUACGGAAAGGGAGCGUAAACAUCCGCUAAUGAAUUCACGUCUGGGUGCACAUUUAGGAAGAACGUGCCGCAGCGAUCAAUCGGGACACUUUGGUUGCUCCGGCAUCGGAAUGACUCCUUACUGUACACCUAGCGUUCCAUUUCAGAUCCAUGGAAAGGCAAAAGGAUGAGUGGUUCCACGCAAAGCACCACGUUUGUACUUAGGUGCCAGACAGACAGCUCUUAAUAUUUGAUGAUUCACCGCCUCGGGCAACAAAGUGAGCGCCAAACCAUCUUUCUCGCUCGCCAGGAAAGACUCACCACUCUCAUUAAGGUCACGGCAGGUAUUUGUUUUAAUCCCUGCAAAGGAAGGAGGGGCGCUCACGUCCAAGAAAACAGGCCAGAGUCAGAGAUUUGUUCGUCGAGUCUGGGGUCAAAGGUUUAGCUAAGGAAGGACCAUUGUCUUAGCUCUUAUCAGCGCUAAGUGGGCGAGGACACAAACACACAAACAACAUUGCGGUUGCCAUCGAUGCAUUUCUGCGCAUAGUGGCCGGGGGCGUUUAGUUAUUCAUUUGCAGAAAAGGCCAUCUAGGAGGGCUUUUAUGUAUAGAGGACGUGAUUUCAAGUGAAAAUUAAGAGGGGCUGUGCAAUGGUCCGUUUUUCUGAUUGGAGAAGGGAGGCAUUGGUGCUAUUGCUGUCACUUUGGCUUCAGAUCCAGCUUGGCUGCCUGAGCCUCACAAUAUGGGUGCUAGUAGUGGGACGGGUUACAGGUUCUACUCUAUGCUAUAGAGCAGUGGUGUCCAAACUACGGCCCGCGGGCCGCAGUUUUUAUUGGCUCGCACCAAAGAAGUAGUAUUGGGCAGGCUAACGAGUUAGCGGAAAGAUGCUAAUUCGCGAUCGUGCUAACACGCGCAAACGGACCUCUAACGAAAAUUAAACAAACAUUUGUAGCAAUACUACAUUGUCCUAAAGGUUAGACACAUGUGAUCAUUCAUUUCUCUUGUUAGGAGACACACAUCGUCAACGACUCCUGUACCACUGUAACCGAGAUAUGUACAAGAAGGUAAAAAAGGAAGUGGUAUCGGCUGAAAACGGCCUUCAAAAUAAAUCACCCUACCUCAAAUCAAAGCAUGGCUGAAUAACAUAAAUAACAUGGAGAAUUCUUAACACAAACUGUAAAUAUGUUUUUAGAACAACUUUUAUUAUUAUACAUUUUUUAUAACUAGUUAGAAGUGUACAUACUGUAAAUAUGUUCUUAGAACUCUUAUUAUUAUAGAAAAUUUCUAUAACAAGGUACAGCACUGUAAAUUUCUUUUUAGAACUCUUAUUAUAACAAUUUUUUUACAAAAAGGUACAAGUGUACGCACUGCAAUUGUGUGGGCAUUCCUUGCCUUCUGCUGGCAUGUGGGGCAAGUUUUGUGCCAUAAUUCCUCAAUUUAGAAGUUUUAUUUUGACUUUUAAUUCUUUUUUUCAAUUUGGGAAAAAAAAUUGCGAUGUAGUGAAACCGCGAUAAACAAACCAUGAUGUAGCGAGGGAUUACUGUACAUCACUGAAAAUCAAGGCAAUUGUGUUUGUCUAAUUUGUAAAGAGACGGUUGCCUUGUUUAAGGAUUUCAAUUUAAAGAGACACUAUCAGACUAAACAUGCGAACACAAACGACCAGCUAACAGGGAGUGACCGCGCUGAUAAAGUAAAGCAGCUCCAAGCUGAACUGGCAUCACAACAGCGAUUGGGACUGUGAGUCAAAAAUAAAUAUUACUAAAGCAAGCUACAAAGUGGCCAUGUUAAGACUGUUGAUGGACCUGUAGACCUGACACAAACUAUUAUUUUCUGAAAGAUAAUGUAAAUGACGAGCAAAAUUCACUAGUUUUAAGUUUUAAUAAUAACAGACAACUUUGCAUUACUCAUAACUCCCGUUUAAAAUCUUCAUGAGGCAAAAGUAAUUUUAAACUCAUGUACAUUUAAGGUAUUUCAUACAGUUUGUUCAAUGUUAUCCGAAUCUUCAGAUAUGAAUGAAAGGCAGUAUUUGUGUUUUUAGAGUUGUUCACAUCUGCCUGAGUGACUCAUAUUUGGUUAUUUUGUCAUUUGAAAAAUAAAGACAAUUGUGACAAUGAAAUUUGUUUUAUAACAGUGUGUAUUUGCAUGACAUUUUUGUAGUUAAAAAAUGUCCGAAAAAACUAUUGGCCCCCGGGCCCCUUCACUUGAUCAAAUCUGGCCCUCCUUGCAAAAGGUUUGGACACCCCUGCUAUAGAGGUUCACAUCAGAUAUGCACCUUUGUCUGCGGCAAGCACACAAACGCUCAGAGGCUUUCAUGCCACGCAUUCAGUUUUGGCCAAACAAAGGCAAAACCCUUUUAGAAGUCACCGGCCUCCCAUCCAAAGCAAUUGGAGUGUGCAGAUGGCGGCCCUGGACCCCAAGCAAAUAGCUGCACAUUGACAGAAGACAAAAGAUAAAGUAGCCAGCGCCGGCAGCGGGCAAACGACCAGGAUGUGGUGGCGUCAUCACCAGAAAGCGACUGGCCCACCAAAGCAAAUAUCUCGUUAAAAUUUGACCCAAUAAUAGAGUCCAAACAAUGUAGCCUUUCUACGUCAAGGCAAUUCGUGCAGCAUUUACUAACCUAGGCAAAUAGAUUCAUGAGAAAAAUGCCACAGCGCACGGCAAAGCGCGGCACAGCGGUCCGGAAUCCCCAUCGAGCGAUCGACCACACGGGCGCAUACUUGACAGCUGACUGUCUCGCUAAGGACGGCGCGUUGACUUGGCGGCCAAAGCGGGGCGACGUGGACAAACGAGAGAAAUGUGGUAAUAAACUUCGAAAUGGCUUUUCCUGUUGCCGCACUCACAAGAGCGUUAUCACCGACGCGCAAACACAUUUAUCAAGGUUGAAGGCAGACAAACGGCAGGAAAUGAGAGUGGGGACAAAUGAGGCAGUGGGGAUGAAUAAAACGAGCUUUGUUUUCCUGUUGGGAGAAGGGAGACGUUUAUUUUUGAACAAAUGGAUGAUGCACAUGCAGACCACUGACAGACACAUGGGCAAAUCCUGCCAUCCAUUUUCUCAAGCAUAUUUGUGUUUACCAUGGGAAUGACACAUCUGUUGACUUGGAUUUGAGGGAGGCGCUCGCUGUUUAUCUGGUGAACAUUCAUUGGAAGGAGAACGAAUGAUGAUCCCAAGGAUUAAAAAAACAUCUAUUUGAGGAAGGCGUUUACUUAAGCAGGUAGAAAAUGCGCUCGUCCAUUGAUUGAGGGAGGCCUUUCUUUUUGAAUGUGGAUGACAAGCUCUGUGAUUAAGAUGCUCACAAGAGAGGUGUCCAUUUGAGGAUGCUUUGCAUAGCAAUGGGUCAGCGGAACCUCCAUUUGAAAGAGGCAGAUGACGCACAAAGACAACACAAAGGGCCUCAAACCCCCACCAAUGAAUCGAUAAAUUCAAUUGCAGAGAAUCAAUGAGCAGGCCUCCUGUUUGGUCCGCAGCGCUCUAAAGACACACUAGGCUUUCAAACUUCAAAAAUCAACGUCUUUAAUAAUAACAACCAAGUAUGAAAGAAUAAAGACAGUACAAUAGCAACGGGAACCAGUCUAAAUCCCCCGUUUGCGUCCACCCCCGAUCAUUUAU